rnacentral:rRNA from 1 species
CUCUCGGCAACGGAUAUCUAGGCUCUCGCAUCGAUGAAGAACGUAGCGAAAUGCGAUACUUGGUGUGAAUUGCAGAAUCCCGCGAAUCAUCGAGUUUUUGAACGCAAGUUGCGCCCGAGGCCACUCGGCCGAGGGCACGUCUGCCUGGGCGUCACGCACCGUUGC